UACAGCACAGAGCUAGCAAACUUCAUAAAACAGAUAACUAAAAUCCAAGAGAUGAAUACAGACUUCAAUGGUGAAAAUUGGGAAAAACCCUUGAAGCCUCACAUAGUAGUCAACUCCAAUCACUAUAUCAUAAAAAAUUGACUUUUAUUUGUAUUUUUGCUAUAGAAUUCUUCCCUCUUAACCACAAUACCUAGAUACAGAAAACAAUACCCCUCUAAAAAUUAGAUCACUUCGGCUAUGAAAACAUAACGAAAGGGGUUGAAUAACCAAGAAUCAAUUAACUAUUAGGGGUCCUAAAAGUAAAAAAAUUUUAAGCGUUCAAUUUCUUUAAUAUAGCUAAGGUAUGAAAUUGAAAAGGGAUCACAAGGUGGAUUACCGGCGCUGCAUGACGUAGGAGGGUCCUUCUGCAAAUCUUUGAGCUCCUUCAAGAUGCGUUUCGAUGCCAUGCCUACAAAACUACAAAGAUGAAGGAAAAAAACCUGAAAGGGUUGAAAAUAUCGAGAAGGGUUUGGUUUAUAGCUGAUUACCGGAAAAACGAGAGGAAAAGAGAAAUUUGUAAUGAG